rnacentral:lncRNA from 1 species
UACGGGUAGUGUCCUCAGCAUUGAAGACCUUAUCCACAACAUCAGAACCGCCGUUGUCCUCUCUUAUGAACGGGGCCCAGAACUCUUUGUCGUAUCCUCUAGGACGAACAUCUCUGUCAUCUACCUCAUCAGCCAAACUGGAGUCGCUAUCGAUAGUUUCGCACAGCUCACCCUCGUUGCUCCUCAGGCUUUCGCCCCUGAUUUUCUCUUCAACCUUCUCGACCUCGCGUAAGAGC